ACCUUUAAAAACAACCACAUGCUUUUAACCUUCAGAAGCAAAUGCAUCUGCACAGCAACAAGGGAUAGAGGUAAAGGUACCACCUCUGUCAACUUUAGGGCUCAUAAAGAGUAGAACCUGGCAGGGCGCUGCUGAGAGUAGUGAGAUUUUGCCUGGUUGCCGUGAAACUGAAAUUACAGCUGGUGGCAUAAAUUGAAAAGGCAUGCAAAAAAUCCGGGGAAUAUUUGGAUCGUGGGGCUACAAAGGAGGGAAACCUUGGGGGCAGAGGCAUUCAGGAGUCUUUGGAUCUCAACCUCAUUUCUGGUUUAUUUUGUUUUCUCUCACUUCAAGAUUGAACUAUACUGAAAGGCCCUUCCCUCUACUGCAAAACAGUCGUCUUUUUUUUUUUUUUUUUUUUUCAUAUCGCACUCCAGGAGAGCAAAGAUGGUGCCAGGGCAGCUACAACCACAGCUUCUACUGGAUCAGUGCCUGACUGAGGAAAGCAGGAAUUCAGAACUACGGUCUCCAAGGCCUCUGACUAAACUCAUUAAAACUUGGACACAAAUAUUAAGCGGCCAAACCUCUUGGAUUUGGACCAGAAUGGCCACUUUUGUGGAGGCUGAUAUAUCUGUGGAGAGAAGGAAAGUAGUGCGUAUCCCGGUCAUGCUGUUUUCCCAGGGAAAACAAUAAUGCGAGAUACCUACAGCUUUGUGUUAUUGCCUUAAUUCUGGAGAUGAGAAAGGAGAACAGAGAAGGAAUGUCACUUGUCCCUGAUGAUACAGCCAUUGUCAGACCCAUGAGGGGUGCUCUGAAAUGCCUUGCUCUUAGUCUUGUUCUCAUUCCUCUGGGUUACAAAGACGUGACAGAUACAGUACAUGUUCUGUUCUUACACUCUGCACAGCAAAAUCAGACAAUUAAGAAUAGUCUUUGAACAUGAAAACUGAAGACUGAAUAAUCCAGACAUGUACUUUCUGCUGUUUUCUUUAUUUUUUAAUGAAAAAAAUGUUUAUUUAAACUCAGAUAAAUCCUGUCUAUCUGCCACCAGGUUAAAUCUGAUUCAAUUUCCUCAAUUCUUCUCUGUAAAGGCUCUUUUUCUCUGCUUGUAUUACAUUGGAUAACAGUAGAAUUACCAUCACAUAAUGUUAGUCUAAAAAUACAUGUACCAUUAUUAUUAUCAAAUAGAGAUAAGUGUGCGUUGCCAAGUAAAAAGAAAGCUGUGAAAUAUAAUGCCAUGUACAAGUAUCUUUGUCUUGAUCUUCCAGAACAUGAAGGAUAGACAUGGGCUGCCAGAUACUCAGUUCUGAUGGAUAAGUGCAACUGUGGUUUCCAUAGCUAUGCAAGGUUUUCUAUAGCACCCAUCACCAUAGUAUCUAAGCAUCUGUUGCCACUGCUGAACACUUUAGUCUACGGUGUACUGAAGAGAAUUAACUGAAAUAAAUAAAUAGAAGGUCCUUGAGCCUGGCCAUCCAUAGUGUGGAGUGACGGGCCAGGUUCUCUCUUCAAAAGAGAUUGUUAGUUUGUCUUUUCACAAAUCCCCAGUUGCUAAGCUUCUUGUUUUGGUGAUACCUUACAGUAAGGGCAUCUCUUGUGCUGUGGUUCAGGCUCAGCUUCCACAUGCCUGGGCACACAGCUCUUCAGGACAUGGCCACUGGGCACGAUGGAGACCACACACAAGAUCCUCAGCUAUGCACCAAGCCAAGCUGCUCCAUUCAGUCUCACUGGCUUCUUCAGGACCUGUGGAU